GGCAGCUGGGGCAUGGGAAAGGAUAGGGCGAGGCAAAGCUGGGAUUAACCCUCUGCGGGGGGAGCUCAGGCCUGAUCAUCCACAGGACACCGUAUACUGACAGACAGAGCCGGGUGCAGUGAGGGACGCCGUAUACUGACAGACAGAGCCGGGUGCAGUGAGGGAUGCCGUAUACUGACAGAGCUGGGAGCAGUGAGGGACGCCGUAUACUGACAGAGCUGGGUGCAGUGAGGGACGCCGUAUACUGACAGAGCUGGGUGCAGUGAGGGACGCCGUAUACUGACAGACAGAGCUGGGAGCAGUGAGGGA